rnacentral:hammerhead_ribozyme from 1 species
AUCCAGCUAUCGAGUCCCGAAUAGGACGAAACGUGCGUCCUGAAU